rnacentral:rRNA from 1 species
AGAGUUUGAUCAUGGCUCAGGAUGAACGCUAGCUACAGGCUUAACACAUGCAAGUCGAGGGGAAACGAUAUUGGAAGCUUGCUUCCGAUAGGCGUCGACCGGCGCACGGGUGAGUAACGCGUAUCCAACCUGCCCACCACUUGGGGAUAACCUUGCGAAAGUAAGACUAAUACCCAAUGAUAUCUCUAGAAGACAUCUGAAAGAGAUUAAAGAUUAUCGGUGAUGGAUGGGGAUGCGUCUGAUUAGCUUGGUUGCGGGGUAACGGCCACCAAGGCGACGAUCAGUAGGGGUUCUGAGAGGAAGGUCCCCCANAUUGGAACUGAGACACGGUCCAAACUCCUACGGGAGGCA